CCAUCACUAACAACAUACAGGUAACUACAGCAACCACGUUGACUCCAUCACUAACAACAUACAUAUAGGUAAUUACAUCAACCAUGCUGACUCCAUCACUAACAACAUACAUACAGGUAACUACAGCAAUCACGCUGACUCCAUCACUAACAACAGAAAGGUAACUACAGCAAUCACGCUGACUCCAUCACUAACAACAUACAUACAGGUAACUACAGCAACCAUGCUGACUCCAUCACUAGCAACAUACAUACAGGUAACUACAGCAACCACGUUGACUCCAUCACUAACAACAUACAUAUAGGUAAUUACAUCAACCAUGCUGACUCCAUCACUAACAACAUACAGGUAAUUACAGCAACCAUGCUGACUCCAUCACUUAUAACAUACAUACAGGUAACUACAGCAACCAUGCUGACUCCAUCACUAACAACAUAGAGGUAACUACAGCAACCAUGCUGACUCCAUCACAAACAACAGCCAUACAGGUGACUACAGCAACCAUGCUGACUCCUUCACUAACAACAUACAUACAGGUAACUACAGCAACCAUGCUGACUCCAUCACAAACAACAGCCAUACAGGUAACUACAGCAACCAUGCUGACACCAUCACUAACAACAUACAGGUAACUACAGCAACCAUGCUGACUCCAUCACUAACAACAUACAUACAGGUAACUACAGCAACCAUGCUGACACCAUCACUAACAACAUACAUACAGGUAACUACAGCAACCAUGCUGACUCCAUCACUAACAACAUACAUACAGGUAACUACAGCAACCAUGCUGACUCCAUCACUAACAACAUACAUACAGGUAACUACAGCAACCGUGCUGACUCCAUCACUAACAACAGCCAUACAGGUAACUACAGCAACCAUGCUGACUCCAUCACUAACAACAUACAUACAGGUAACUACAGCAACCAUGCUGACUCCAUCACUAACAACAUACAUACAGGUAACUACAGCAACCAUGCUGAUUCCAUCACUAACAACAUACAUACAGGUAACUACAGCAACCGUGCUGACUCCAUCACUAACAACAUACAUACAGGUAACUACAGCAACCAUGCUGACUCCAUCACUAACAACAUACAUACAGGUAACUACAGCAACCGUGCUGACUCCAUCACUAACAACAUACAUACAGGUAACUACAGCAACCAUGCUGACUCCAUCACUAACAACAUACAUACAGGUAACUACAGCAACCAUGCUUUCUCU